rnacentral:rRNA from 1 species
UAGGGAAUCUUCGGCAAUGGACGAAAGUCUGACCGAGCAACGCCGCGUGAGUGAAGAAGGUUUUCGGAUCGUAAAACUCUGUUGUUAGAGAAGAACAAGGACGUUAGUAACUGAACGUCCCCUGACGGUAUCUAACCAGAAAGCCACGGCUAACUACGUGCCAGCAGCCGCGGUAAUACGUAGGUGGCAAGCGUUGUCCGGACUUAUUGGGCGUAAAGCGAGCGCAGGCGGUUUCUUAGGUCUGAUGUGAAAGCCCCCGGCUCAACCGGGGAGGGUCAUUGGAAACUGGGAGACGUGAGUGCAGAAGAGGAGAGUGGAAUUCCAGGUGUAGCGGUGAAAUGCGUAGAUAUAUGGAGGAAAACCAGUGGCGAAGGCGGCUCUCUGGUCUGUAACUGACGCUGAGGCUCGAAAGCGUGGGGAGCAAACAGG